UACGUAGGGGGCAAGCGUUGUCCGGAAUCAUUGGGCGUAAAGAGCGUGUAGGCGGCUCGAUAAGUCUGCUGUGAAAGUCCAGGGCUCAACCCUGGAAGGCCGGUGGAAACUGUCGGGCUAGAGUCCGGAAGAGGCGAGUGGAAUUCCCGGUGUAGCGGUGAAAUGCGCAGAUAUCGGGAGGAACACCAAUGGCGAAGGCAGCUCGCUGGGACGGUACUGACGCUGAGACGCGAAAGCGUGGGGAGCAA
rnacentral:rRNA from 1 species